rnacentral:rRNA from 1 species
CACGUAGGGUGCGAGCGUUGUCCGGAAUUAUUGGGCGUAAAGAGCUCGUAGGCGGUGUGUCGCGUCGGCCGUGAAAACCUGCAGCUUAACUGUGGGCUUGCGGUCGAUACGGGCAUCACUGGAGUUCGGCAGGGGAGACUGGAAUUCCUGGUGUAGCGGUGAAAUGCGCAGAUAUCAGGAAGAACACCAAUGGCGAAGGCAGCUCUCUGGGACGGUACUGACACUGAGACGCGAAAGCGUGGGGAGCGAACAGG